GACGAACGCUGGCGGCGUGAUUAACACAUGCAAGUCGAACGGAGUGGCGAACGGGUGAGUAACACGUGGGUUAACUGCCCUGCACUUCGGGGUAAGCCUGGGAAACUAGGUCUAAUACCGGAUAGUGUGGGAUGGGCACGCGGCCUAUCAGCUUGUUGGUGGGGUAAUUGCCUACCAAGGCGGCGACGGGUAGCCGGCCUGAGAGGGUGGACGGCCAGAUUGGGACUGAGACACGGCCCAUACUCCUAGGGGGGGCAGCAGUGGGGAAUAUUGCACAAGGGGCGGAAGCCUGAUGCAGCGACGCCGCGUGGGGGAGGACGGCCUUCGGGUUGUAAACUCCUUUCACCAUCGACGCGGUAGAUGGAGAAGAAGCACCGGCGAACUACGUGCCAGCAGCCGCGGUAAUAC
rnacentral:rRNA from 1 species